AUGAAAAAGUUACUUUUAAGUAGUUUUUUUUUAUUAAACUGUCCUAGUGUAGCAGGUCCUCGAGGAACACGAGCGGAGAGUUGCGUGCCCAUCCUUGUUCACUUUCUUUCGAGUACAAAUAGCAUGCUCAAAAUUGAAAUAAAUAAAUUAAAAAAAUAGUUGGUGGAGUAUUAAAAAUGGAUUCAAAUGCACGCAAAAAAAGCAGUUUAACAGCAUACUUUAUCCCCUACUUAACACCAAGUCACUACUUACCUCUCUUUCAAAUUGCUAAGUUAUUUGCAUCUCGCGGGGUGCAUGUUAUUUUCCUUACUACUUAUCACAAUUCCCUCUCUUUUCGCGAUUCCAUCCCCUCUCUCAACCAAUUAGGAUUACACAUCGACCUUGAGUAUGUCGACUUCCCUAGCAAGGAAGUCGGCUUGCCCGAGGGGAUUGAGAGCUUCAGUGCCGCUACUAACACCGAUAUGGCCGGUAGAGUCCUCCAAGCAUUUUUCAUGCUUCAAGCUCCCAUUGAGGCUAUGGUCCGGGCUGCUAAGCCUGACUGCAUUGUCGCUGAUACUCACUGUUUUUGGACCACUGCUCUCGCGGAAGACCUUGGUAUCCCUCGUUUGGUACAUCAUGGUCAAGCUGCUUUUUCCCUCGCAGCUAUUGAUGCCUUUGAUAGGUAUACUCCUUAUGAGAAUGUGAAAUCUGAUGACGAACCCUUCCUAUUGCCGGGACUCCCACAUCCAAUCUACAUGACCCGUUCAGAACAUCCGCCAUGGAUCCAAAGUUCAAAUUUCUACACCACAUUCUUGAACAAAAUUAAAGAGGCAGAUGGCAACUCUUACGGUCUUCUUGUUGAUACCUUCUAUGAGUUGGAGAAAGACUACAUAGAUUUCUACAGGACCACUUUGGACUGUCGUACCUGGUGUAUUGGCCCUAUUUUCCUACACCAUGACCAUGCUCUACACAAAAUCAACUCCAAGGACAAGCUCAACCACGACAAUAACAAAUCGGAUGAGAACAACCCAAGCAAACACCCUUGUUUGGAGUGGCUCGAUAAAAUGCCACGUGGAAAAGUUGUGUACGUUAGUUUUGGAAGUUUAUCAAGGUUUAGCUCAGCUCAACUAUUGGAGAUUGCUCAUGCACUUGAAUCUUCGGGUCACCCAUUUAUAUGGGUGGUCCGAAAGAAGGAGUCAGAGGAAGUAGGGGUGAAAUGGUUACCCGAGGGAUUUGAAGAAAGGAUAUCUCAGAAAAGUAUUGGGAUGCUUAUAGAAGGAUGGGCACCCCAACCACAGAUAUUAGAGCACCCUGCCAUUGGUGGGUUCGUGACACACUGUGGGUGGAACUCUUCGGAAGAGUCCCUCGCUGCAGGGCUACCAGUCGUGGCUUGGCCUCUCUCUGCUGAACAAUUCUACAAUAGAAAGUUGUUUAUUGAUGUAUUAAAGAUUGGAGUUGGGGUUGGAAAUAUGAAGUGGAGCUCCAUGAUUGAUGGAACGGAUGAGUUAGUGAAGAGAGAUAAGAUUGAGAAUGCUGUGAGGGAGAUGAUGGGUGAUCAUGUGGAGGCUCAGGAAAGGAGGCAGCGCGCCAAGGAGUUUGGCAUCGCUGCUAAGAAGGCUGUUCAACAAGGUGGUUCAUCUUAUGAUAGUUUAACUGCUGUCAUUGAUGAACUACACCGUCUCAAAAAUUCAUCAAAAGUUGCUGCAUGAUUAAUAUUAGAUGGAUUUUAGUCAAUAAGUGUGAUGUUAGAUGUUUUGUUUGGGCAUUAAUAAGUGGUAUAUUUAGGGUAGCAUCAUUUUUCUAUUUUACUAGUCUAUCUACGGAGUACUAAUUAACAAGGAAAUAAUGAUUACAUUGAUGAAUUAAAAAUAACUGAUUGUUUAGUUGGGAUUAAAUUUCAGGAAUAGUAGUAAUGAAGAGAAAAUGAAUGACAAUAGCCGCACUAUAGUUGUAAGAGAGCAAAUGAGAAGAGAGGUGUUCGGAAGAAGAAAGAAGAAUGGAGAAAGAGGAGCAAAAAAGAGGGAUGCUACCAGGAGUAGAAGCAGCAAGAAGAAGGAGAGUUCAUCAAAGCAGUAGCAUUAAUAAUAGCAAUUGUUCAUCUCCUUCCUCGAGACGCCUUUCUUUCUCUCUCUUCUCCACAAAUACCUCUACUUUCUUGGGGCAUACGACAAGGAGCAGAACAUCCUAUGAAGAUGAUGAUGAACACGAAGAUGAUCCAAAGUUAGGAGCUUUGGCUAGAGAAGCCAAGGUCAGACUUGAUGCCAAACUCAGAUCAACACCCUUCAAAUCUACCAGGAAUAAUAACUGUGAAGAGAGAAUAGGAAGAUUCCAGAACAAUGAAAAUGAAGUGACAAGAAAGAAAAAGAAGAAGAAUGGAAAGUUUAGUUGGAACUGGAAAUCAGGGGAUCAAUUACAAGAUAAAGAAUGUGCAGUAUGCUUGGAUGAAAUGAAAGAGGGUGAUGACAUCAUGAAUUUAGAAUGCAACCAUAGUUUUCAUUCAAAAUGUUUGAUGCCUUGGCUUCAAACCAAUGCCCACUGCCCCUGUUGCAGGUUCAGGAUCCAACACCUUUAAACUUCAUUUUUGUCACUCUUUCUAUCGGCUUGCUUAUUACCAACUAGUAUGUAAUGUAAAUACAAGAUUGGUGUUAAUUUUUAGUUUUUUCAGGCCACUUGCCAACCCAAAUCAUGUGAUUCAGCUACCUCUAUUCUCAUCUACCCUCGCUUGUUUUUAUUAUAAAUAAGUGUUGCGGUUAUUAUAAAAAUGGAGAGAGUUAACCUCCUUAUUCUCACCUA